rnacentral:rRNA from 1 species
GGGGGGGGCAUGCCUAACACAUGCAAGUCGAACGGUAGCAGGUAAAGUGAUCCCUUCGGGGUGAUCUUGGCGCUGACGAGUGGCGGACGGGUGAGUAAUGCGUAGGAAUCUACCCUUAAGUGGGGGAUAGCCCGGAGAAAUCCGGAUUAAUACCGCAUGUGCUCUACGGAGCAAAGCGGGCCUCUGUUUCAAGCUCGCGCUUGAGGAUGAGCCUACGUCGGAUUAGCUUGUUGGUGGGGUAAAGGCCUACCAAGGCGACGAUCCGUAGCUGGUCUGAGAGGAUGAUCAGCCACACUGGGACUGAGACACGGCCCAGACUCCUACGGGAGGCAGCAGUGGGGAAUAUUGGACAAUGGGCGAAAGCCUGAUCCAGCAAUGCCGCUGUGUGUGAAGAAGGCCUGCGGGUUGUAAAGCACUUUUAUCGGGAAAGAAAAUCACAGGGUUAAUACCCCUGUGCCUUGACGGACCCGUAA